GGGCCAGAAUAGUCUAGUGGUCCGGGUGUUUGACUCCCAGUCAAUUGUUAAUUUCUGGGUUUGAACCCCCGAGGUCCA